AAGAUGUUCCGUGUGAGAAGGUUGAGGGGAGGCCGAUGUCUCCGCUGGCUGUUGGGUGUGAUGGAAGCAGCCAGGCCAAGUCAUGCAUUGAAGGUGGAUGUUCAUUCCCGUUUGGCCAUCCAUGCGAGGUGAUUUUUCUUUGGAGCUUCCCUGUGCGGUGACCCAGUGUGUCCUUGGGUGGAUGCCUUUCUGCUCUGAAGAGGGUCGUCCCCCUGGCCCCACUCUUUGCGUAGAAGUCCUGUGGCCAGUUGUUUGAGUGACCCGUCGUGGACUCUGGAGGCGGUUGUCAUUUAUUGAAUGUGGAAGUCCCUGUUUGGCCAUCCGUGGGAGGUCGUUGUUCCUUGGAGCUUCCCUGUGAGGUCUUUGUGCCCUUCCUGGUGGCCAUGUUCUCCCUGUGGAGGUUGCUGUUGGUCUGAGGGAUCUGUGCGUUGUUUUCCCCAUGCACGCACCUUGCCAGCAUUGAAUGAAGGUUCUUCCUAGGGUGUGGCCCCGAUAUGGGAAGUUGAGAGGACCCUUUCCUGGCAUCGCAGAGUGCAUGGAUUACGUGGUGGAGCGCCCAGUGUGAAAAAGGACGAUGACGGAUCCUGUCGCCUGUGUGCGUGUCUGAAGCAUACCUGUGGGUUGGAGGACACUGUGCUUGGGCAAGCAUGUGUCCCCACCUGUCCAUCUAUUGUAUGCGUUGCUGCCCCCUUAAAACGUCGUGGCCGAUGAUACGGGUGGUCGCUUUUCAUCAUCCCGGCGCUGCCUUUAGUCCAGCACUAUCCCCCUUCACCCACCCCAGUGGUCCUCGACGUAGUGCUGUGCUGGUGCAUGUUUCACCCAAGAGCCUGGGCUUCUUUCUCUCUGGGACGUCUUUCCCCAUCGUCCUGCCUGUAGCGCCCCCCCACCCUUUCCCGCAAAAUGAUCCCAGGUUUUCUCCCCACCAGAGUCACCUCCCCGAUAAUGCGCCCGCACCCACUCGGCUUACCCCCACUUCUCCAAUGC